rnacentral:lncRNA from 1 species
CAAAAUGAACAUACUCCCGCUUUUUAAAGUUGUCCUACUGAGCACAUUAGCUUUUCGUGACUUGUGGCAUAUAAGAGAAUUGUUCAGAGGCAAGGCUGAGACUUUGUGUUUUGAUCUUUUACAUUUCCCUUUUAUUCUUUAGUUCUUAGAAUGGUAACAAAUUAUAUGUUAUUGAUGAUUUUACAGUGUGUAUAUUGGCCAGUGCAAGUAAUCCUACACUUGUAUUGAUCAGCAGCGAUGGCUCAUAAUCUAUGGUCACCCCCGAAAAUUCAGCACAACAACCUGCAUAGGCGUAGGAGUGAUUAAACAGCAGCAUGGCGCACUUCCACGUAGCCCGGGGAGGAACAAUCAAGAAAAAGACCAAGGUGGGAAAAUGAAGGCAGGGAGAUCCCAACGUUCUUGGAGGCUAAAGGACCCCAAGGUGUGCAAUGUGUGUGUGUUUUCUUCCUGCUUCAAACAUCUCAAAAAACAAACAAACAAAUAAACAAACAAAUGCC